GCGGAUGUGAUGGAAUUGGUAGACAUGCAGGAUUUAGGUUCCUGUGCUGCGAGGCGUGUGGGUUCGAGUCCCUUCAUCCGCA
rnacentral:tRNA from 1 species